rnacentral:rRNA from 1 species
UCAGGACGAACGCUGGCGGCGCGCCUAACACAUGCAAGUCGAACGGAGCUUGCACUUCUGAAGUUUUCGGAUGGACGAGGUACAAGCUUAGUGGCGAACGGGUGAGUAACACGUGAAGAACCUGCCCUUCAGUGGGGGACAACAGUUGGAAACGACUGCUAAUACCGCAUAAGACCACAGUACCGCAUGGUACAGUGAUCAAAGGAUUUAUUCGCUGAAGGAUGGCUUCGCGUCCGAUUAGGUAGUUGGUGAGGUAACGGCCCACCAAGCCUACGAUCGGUAGCCGGACUGAGAGGUUGAUCGGCCACAUUGGGACUGAGACACGGCCCAGACUCCUACGGGAGGCAGCAGUGGGGAAUAUUGCACAAUGGAGGAAACUCUGAUGCCAGCGACGCCGCGUGAGGGAAGAAGGUCUUCGGAUUGUAAACCUCUGUCUUCAGGGACGAUAAUGACGGUACCUGAGGAGGAAGCACCGGCUAACUACGUGCCAGCCGCAGC